GUAAAAGUUUGAUUGUUGAGCUCUGUGGAAAUCAGGUGCCUGGAGCACCUCCUCAUGCAGGGAAACAGGAAUGGGCAUGGCAACAUGGCACCCAUGGCCAUAUAUCCUCCCCAAGCACAUCCCUGGGCAAAGGAGCUUCAACAUCUCCCUCAGAACACUUCAACCCAGUCAGGGUGAGCUGGUAAAAGCUCCAUUGUUGAGCUCUGUGGAAAUCAGGUGUCUGGAGCACCUCCUCAUGCAGGGAAACAGGAAUGGGCAUAGGAACAUGGCAUCCAUGGCCAAACAUCUCCCCAGACACAUCCCUGGGCAAAGGAGCUUCGACAUCUCCCUCAGAACACUGCAACCCAGUCAGGGUGAGCUGAUAAAAGCUCCGUUAUUCAGCUCUGUGGAAAUCAGGUGCCUGGUGCACCUCCUCCUGGGCAGGGGAACAUGGCACCCACCUGCCCCAUGGCCAAACACCUCCCCAGACACAACCCCUGGCAAAGGAGCUUCAACAUUUCCCUCAGAACACUUCAACCCAGUCACGGUGAGCUCCAGUGUUCAGCUCUGUGGAAAUCAGGUGCCUGGUGCAUCUGCAGGGAAACACCAGGAAUGGGCAUGGGAACAUGGAUCCCACCUGCCCCAUGGCCAAACAUCUCCCCAGACACAACCCCUGGCAAAAGUGCUUCAACAUCUCCCUCAGAACACUUCAACCCAGUUAGGGUGAGCUCCAUUGUUCAGCUCUGUGGAAAUCAGGUGCCCUGGUGCACCUCCUCAUGCAGGGAAACACCAGGAAUGGGCAUGGCAACAUGGCACCCAUGGCCAAACAUCUCCCCAGACACAACCCCUGGCAAAGGAGCUUCAACAUCUCCCUCAGAACACUUCAACCAAGUCAGGGUAAUGUGUAAAAGUGCCAGUGGUUCAGAGCUGUGGAAAUCAGGUGCCUGGAGCACCUCCUCCUGCAGGGAA
rnacentral:lncRNA from 1 species